AGAGUUUGAUCAUGGCUCAGAAUCAACGCUGGCGGCGUGCCUAACACAUGCAAGUCGCACGAGAAAGGGGAGCAAUCCCUGAGUAAAGUGGCGCACGGGUGAGUAACACGUGAAUAAUCUACCUCCGAGUGGGGAAUAACUGAGAGAAAUCUUAGCUAAUACCGCAUAACACUUACGAGUCAAAGCAGCAAUGCGCUUGGAGAGGAGUUCGCGGCCGAUUAGUUUGUUGGCGGGGUAAUGGCCCACCAAGACGAUGAUCGGUAUCCGGCCUGAGAGGGCGCACGGACACACUGGAACUGAAACACGGUCCAGACUCCUACGGGAGGCAGCAGUGGGGAAUUUUGCGCAAUGGGGGAAACCCUGACGCAGCAACGCCGCGUGGAGGAUGAAAUAUCUUGGUAUGUAAACUCCUUUCGAUGGGGAAGAUUAUGACGGUACCCAUAGAAGAAGCCCCGGCUAACUUCGUGCCAGCAGCCGCGGUAAUACGAGGGGGGCAAGCGUUGUUCGGAUUUAUUGGGCGUAAAGGGUGCGUAGGCGGUUUGGCAAGUCUGAUGUGAAAUCUAUGGGCUCAACCCAUAGUCUGCAUCAGAAACUGCCGGGCUUGAGUAUGGGAGAGGUGAGUGGAAUUUCCGGUGUAGCGGUGAAAUGCGUAGAUAUUCGGAAGAACACCGUGGCGAAGGCGGCUCACUGGCCCGGUACUGACGCUGAGGUGCGAAAGCGUGGGGAGCAAACAGGAUUAGAUACCCUAGUAGUCC
rnacentral:rRNA from 1 species